rnacentral:rRNA from 1 species
UAGGGAAUAUUGGGCAAUGGAAGCAAUUCUGACCCAGCCAUGCCGCGUGAAGGAAUACAGCCCUAUGGGUUUUAAACUUCUUUUAUUAUAGAGCAACCGGAGGUACGUGUACCUCCCUGCAAGUAUAUGAUGAAUAAGGAUCGGCUAACUCCGUGCCAGCAGCCGCGGUAAUACGGGGGGGACGAGCGUUGUUCGGAUUUACUGGGCGUAGAGGGCGCGUAGGCGGACCUCUAAGUCGGGUGUGAAAACUGUUGGCUUAACUGACAGCCUGCACUCGAUACUGGAGGCCUUGAGUACGGAAGAGGAGAGUGGAAUUCCAGGUGUAGCGGUGGAAUGCGUAGAUAUCUGGAAGAACACCAGUAGCGAAGGCGGCUCUCUGGUCCGAUACUGACGCUCAAGCGCGAAGGCUUGGGGAGCAAACA